CCUACGGGGAGCAGCAGUGAGGAAUAUUGGUCAAUGGGCGAGAGCCUGAACCAGCCAAGUCGCGUGAGGGAGUACUGCCCUAUGGGUUGUAAACCUCUUUUGUCGGGGAGCAAAAGCCGGACGUGUCCGGCUGUGAGAGUACCCGAAGAAAAAGCAUCGGCUAACUCCGUGCCAGCAGCCGCGGUAAUACGGAGGAUGCGAGCGUUAUCCGGAUUUAUUGGGGUUAAAGGGUGCGAAGGCGGAUUUUUAAGUCAGCGGUCAAAUCGUGGGGCUCAACCCCAUCCAGCCGUUGAAACUGGGGAUCUAGAGUGUGCGAGAGGUAUGCGGAAUGCGUGGUGUAGCGGUGAAAUGCAUAGAUAUCACGCAGAACCCCGAUUGCGAAGGCAGCAUACCGGUGCACAACUGACGCUCAGGCACGAAAGCGUGGGUAUCGAACAGGAUUAGAUACCCUUGUAGUC
rnacentral:rRNA from 1 species